rnacentral:lncRNA from 1 species
CUUGUUUUCAUAUUUAUUUAUCUUUCAUGGUGUCUUACACUCAAGUCGGUUAAUUAAAUGUGUACAGGAGUUAAGGAUAACUCAUACUUCAAUUGCUGAUUGGUUUAGCCAACGUAGGGUUGACCACUACUUAAACUGCUUAGGCUUUUUUCGGAUAAAUUCUUCACCAUCUAUCGUCCGGCCGUAAGGACUUAUAUGUGAGGAUUUGUGGGGAACAAGUCACAUUAUCGCUUUCUUCGUUAGUUAAUGUUAUGUGCGUAGCUGUGAAUUGAGGCUUUUGAUCGCCUCUUUUGUGCAUUAAUCUAUUUUCCAAUUACUAAAUCUUGCCAUUAUAUAAAAGAAAAUCAAAACCAUUCAAGCAUGUGCCCACGCAUUUCUAUCGUUAUCUUAACGAACUAGUAAACGUUUUUCUGUUCAAAAUCAGCUGUUAAUAUUGGUAUGGGUUAUUAAUGACAAAAAGAUCUCACUUCUUCAUAAGAGAUUUCCUAAUGUUAACUAUAAAAAGUAAUAAAUUCAUCUCAGUGAUUGUAAUGCCCUAAUUUUAUUAGUUAUAAAUAAUUCAAGGUAUUAGAAGCUUAAUCACGGAUUAAAGAGAAAGAAGUAAUUCACCGAUUAGUUAGAGAGAGAGUUUGAGAUUAGGUUGGGUUGGGUCAGUCCGAAAUCUGAAAACGAAACCCGACGAUCAUUUCCAAUUCUGACUACAUCACCGGCAGGAACCUCAAGAGCGGCCAUCUAAAUCACUGGGAAAUGCCCAAAAAGUCACCGAUCGAGCACGUGAAAGCCACAAUCUCACCACCUUAAAUCGGUGCGUUUUCGCCGAUUUUCAGUCACGCCGUCGCUUGGGUUUUGUCCUCACAACACCUCUUCAAAACCCGACCGGUAACCGUUACCAAAAGCAGCCAAAUCACUGUCGAUUUUGCUUAACACAUCUGCGUCAGAGCACAACACCGCCAUUGUUGGAUUCAAAUCACGCUUAACACACCGCCCAUUGGAGCACAACACCGCCAUCGUUGGAUUCAUCCCGACCACCGUUGGUUGGUUUCUAGUUAUCAUUGACCGGUGAGGAUAUUUUGGUGCCGUUAGACUUCAAGGGUAAUUAUGUAAUUUAUGACUUUGAGGAUAUUUUAGUAAUAUAUGAAUUCAAGAGUACCUUGGUAAUUUAUGAUUAGGGCUUGAUAAUAUUUAUUAAUAACUUUUAGGUGGAUGAUAUCGAUACGCUUUUGUUACACUUUUGUUACACGUGGAUGUCAAGAAUUAGACUUCUAAAUGAAUAAAAAAAAAUGUAUAUAUUUGACAUGUUUGACAUGUAUUUUUUUGAUAUGUGCAUAUAUGCAUUUUAUAUGAUCUUGAUUAGGGGUGGGUAUCGGUUCAGUUUCAGAAUAAAUUUUUGAUUUCGAAUCGGUUUGGAUUUAAAAUUUAAAAAAGCCGAAUCAAAAUUGAUAGGUCAGUUUCGGUUCGGUUUCGAUUCGAUUUCGGUUCUUUUAACGGUUUUAUUUAAGCAAUUGGUUUUUCGAUUCAUCUUAACGAUUCAAUUUUUGGUUCGAUUUUUCAAAUCAUUUUCUAUUUCAACACCCUCCUCAAAAUCAUCCUUCAUAAUCUCCUCUACAACAUUGCUAUUUUCUUCCAUCCUGCACACAAAGCCUACUAUAAUUAAUGUAUAAUCAAACAAAAAAAAUAAUUUACAAAUUUGUAUUAAAAAAAAAAAAACAAGAAUUUUGGACUAAAACGAAGAAUUUUCAAAAUUAUAGUUGAAUUUUUAAUAUCAAAAGUGUUGACCCAAAAUGUAAAUAAAAUAAAAUAAGUAUUUGUGCCAUAGUAGAAACUAACAAAAUAUUAAGGACUCAUAUGAUAUUUUAUCUAGUUGACCUUCGGUCAAGGACUAUUAUGCAAAGUUAGCAACACAAACUAAAUCAUAAUAGAAUUCUUAUAUGAAAACAUUUUCUAAAUAUUAGGUCAUACUAAAAUAUUAUUAAAAAACAAGCGACCUAAAUGAUAUUUGCCCUCCAUCAUCUUCGGGGCUCCAUCAGACUUCACCCAGCAAUGUCCAGAGCAUAAUUUCCAAACAAAAAAAAUUGAAAAAUACAGUAACAUGCUCAUAACUAGGCAAAGCUAAUAAAACUAAAUGCUAUUAAUAACUUAAACAAACAUGAAAUAAGUGCAAAUUAAAGAGUUAUUUAAAAAAAAAAAGAAGAAAAACAGAGCAAGUUACUCACAAACGAAAACAUACACAUUACCUGGCUAUCUAGCUAGCAACGGAGUAAGGAAAGAAACGAAGCAGUAGGUCGGCAGCAAGGAGAAGGCAGAUGCGAGUUAGGGCUUGGGUAAGUGGCUGUGCUGCAGCUAAAGCGUGAGAGAGAGUGGAGCAAACUGCACAUGUGUUAAUUUGUGUAUAUAUAUGUCCUAGUAAAAUUACAAAAAUGCCCUAAUUUCGGUUAGGUUCGGAUUUUUUAAUUUUUUAUCCGAAAACAGAACCAAACCAACCAUUCGGUUCGGUAUUUAUAAAUUCAAAUUUUUUACUUUAAAAAUACAGAACCGAAACCGAAAAAAAUCGAACCGAACCGAAUUUUUUUCGGUUCCGGUUCGAUUUUGGCCACCCCUAAUCUUGACCUUGUGUUUAUGUGAUGUGUAGUUAUUUGUUAACUGUAAUCAUAGACAAAGCAUAAAUAUGUGUGAAAGUUUGUUGGCAUAAACAUGAACAUGCGAAGCUUUAAUAAAAAGCAUGUUUAUUAAUUGCAUUUGUAAUUUUAUGAUUUAUAUGUGAACUUUGUUAUCAUACUAAUUUUUACGAGAUUUUGCAUUGCAUUAGGGGCCGCCUCUUGAAGUUAUGUGGGGGACACUUCUUGAGACAAUGUGGGGUCAACUUUCAAAAGUCAAUGUACCGCAAAGUGCCACACAUAGUACAAAGUGACAUAUGCGUGACAUGUAUUUUAUUGAAAAAAAAUGUGAAAGUUUAAAAGUGACAUAAAGGGAUUUUGAUGAAUUUAUUUUACAUUGUUUUCAAAAGAUCACGACAUAUCAUCUGCGAAGUGCCACACAUUGUUUUAAAAACUACUUUGUUUACUAAGUUUUGUACUCAUUAUGAUUUAUUGUGAUUCAGUUUUCAGAGGUCAGGAUUGAUUUCUAAUGAGUGAGAAGAAGGAUUUAAAUUGAGAAUGAUAAAUAAUUUGACAAAAUUCUUUAAUAUUCAUCUGUUGUGUAAUAGUUGUAUCUGAGAAUUGAAUUUUGAUCGAUUGUAAACGGUCAUUUAAGGUUUAUAUGUGGGUUGUGGUUAGAUUUGCUCACAGGAUUCGGACUCGGUGUUACAGUAAUACUAAAUGGGUCAUUACUGGCAAAGAAAAAUGUCAUUGGAACACCACAUUUGGUAUUGUGAAAAAAACAAGAACACUGUACACGAAUAAUGUGUUCUUUAACUUGUUUUGUAUACUAUACAGUUACCGUGCAGUAAACAGUAACACUUUUGAUGUCGCUUUGGUUCAUAAAUAUUAGUCUGGGUUAUUAAUGGCAAAUAGAUCGCACUUCUUUGGAAGAGAUUCCUAAAAGUCAGUGUAAAAAGGAAGAAACUGCUGUUCAAGCACGUUUACUUAAGCAACGUUUAAGCUUUUCUGACCCCAAGUAAUUUAAUUUACAAUUAUUGCGAUAUUUUAUGCAUGGAAUCUGAUUUUGGUGCUCGCGUAUGUUACAGUGCGCAAUGGAGCCCUCAACGAACUUUCACCAGGGACAAACUUGUCACGCAUGCCGUUGCACACCGAAAGCUCUUUUAUGCAUCCCCCCAACCGUCAGAAAAUGCCCAUAUAAUAAUAUCAUAUAAUCGACAAUAACUUCCUCGUCCU